AGGAUUCCCCUAGUAACUGCGAGUGAAGAGGGAACAGCUCAAAUUUUGAAUCUGGCGGUCCAUGUGGCCGUCCGAGUUGUAAUCUAGAGAAGCGUUUUCCAGCGCUGGUCCAUGUACAAGUCUCCUGGAAGGGAGCAUCAUAGAGGGUGAGAAUCCCGUCUUUGACAUGGCUGCCAGUGCAUCGUGAUGCGCUCUCGACGAGUCGAGUUGUUUGGGAAUGCAGCUCAAAACGGGUGGUAAAUUCCAUCUAAAGCUAAAUACAGGCGAGAGACCGAUAGCGAACAAGUACCGUGAGGGAAAGAUGAAAAGAACUUUGGAAAGAGAGUUAAACAGUAUGUGAAAUUGCUGAAAGGGAAACGCUUGAUGUCAGUCGCGUCUGCCGGGGAUCAACCUUGCUUUCAUCGCUCGGUGUACUUCCUGGCGGACGGGUCAGCAUCAGUUUCGCUCGCUGUACAAGGGCAAAGGGAAUGUGGCACUCUUCGGACGUGUGUUAUAGCCUUUCGUCGGAUGCAGCGGGGUCGGGACUGAGGAAUUCGGCACGACCGGUUU
rnacentral:rRNA from 1 species